rnacentral:lncRNA from 1 species
AACACAAGACAAGUUAUCAGAGCCUGAAAACACGGAUAAGUUGCCACUCAGUGUGCUCGUGAUCCAUUUUGUCCUCCAGUACAAGCAGCUGUUUGAGAGGAAUUUGGAGAAUCUGAACCAGUGGCGAGGCUCCUGCUGGUUUAACUGGAGCAGGCAGUUGUGUUUCAAGUCUUGGUUGUAGCUAAAACACCUGACUUUAGUUUAAACUAAACAAAUACACUGAGUCUCCAGGUCAUUUAUUCUUAAAUGUAAGGAUUUGCACAUUUUCCCUCCAGUGUAUUGUCCUGAAGUCGUUGGAAGAAUUUAGUCAGUAUAGUUAUUUUUUCGAUCUCUCUCUACACAACAUAUAUACUUCUAUAGGUGUCCAAUAAGGUUACCUGAAACUCCAGUCAGCCUGCUCUCAUUUUGUGUUGUUUUGUGUUUUUAAUGUCACAAUUUAGCCAGGAACAAUACUUUCUUUAAAAAAAAAAAUGUACCAAGAUUUUUUGGGGGUUUUUUUUUGCUUUUUUGGUUCUUCUGUAAAAUAAAGUCUCCCCCGUCAUUUAAAAGGAUUUGAAAAAAACUUGAUGGAACAGGUUGCAACUGAAAACCAGAUGAGCAACUUCAGCCUGUGUCUCAGCUCUGCUCUCACAUAUGCAGCAUUCUCCCGCAGGACAGCGACAGGUAAGAAGACCUUUGCUCAUAAAAUAUACCAAACUGAAAGGUCUUGCAGAUCGAUCUUAGUGUUAGCAUGCACUUGUUUUGCACUGUUUAGGGAAACACAGUGAAAGACAGCAAAACUGAACUUCCUUAAUAGUUCAUUGUGGUUUUUUUUGACUACUCAGUCGGUGAGCAUAUGUCACGUGUCACCGUGCAACUGACAAGUUUCAAAACCUGUGGUUUGCACACAGUUAGAUAUAGAUAUUAUGUAACCAUCCAGAAAAUGCACUCAUUUAAUAACUGUUUUCAACAGACGUGCAGCACCACAUCAUCAAACCUGUAAGUCAUGGCCUAUGAACCCAGCCGUGGAGACAACUUUUCCCCAUCAGGGACUGUUGCUUUCACAGCCAAGCUGAAAGUGGAGGACAGCUACCCCUGUUUCUCUGGAGCCCUGAAGUUUGCCACUGUGCUGGUCAACGAGGGAGGAGGCUACAGUCCUGACACUGGCAUCUUCUCCUGCCCCGUGGAUGGCUUCUAUCACUUCACUGUGCAUGUGUCUGUGUAUGGGCGAGGGCAGUGCGCUAUAUUUAAAAAUGGAGAGAAAGUAGUGUCACUGUACCACACUACUCUGCCUGAUAAAUGUAGCCAAGUGGCUAGUACCAGCAGUGUGAUCAAACUGUCUAAACAGGAUGAAGUCUGGGUGGAUGUGUGGGGGCCUGGCAGAAACGAUAUCUUUGCAACUGAUGAUAAUGACACUGUCUUUAGUGGUGUACGCUUGGGUUGA